rnacentral:rRNA from 1 species
UACAGAGGUCUCGAGCGUUGUUCGGAUUCAUUGGGCGUAAAGGGCGCGUAGGCGGCGGGGUAAGUCUGGUGUGAAAUCUCGGAGCUCAACUCCGAAAUUGCACUGGAUACUGCUCUGCUAGAGGGCUGGAGAGGAGAUCGGAAUUCACGGUGUAGCAGUGAAAUGCGUAGAUAUCGUGAGGAACACCAGUGGCGAAGGCGGCUCACUGGCCCGGUACUGACGCUGAUGCACGAAAGCUAGGGGAGCAAACAGG